rnacentral:rRNA from 1 species
CCUACGGGAGGCAGCAGUAGGGAAUCUUCCGCAAUGGACGAAAGUCUGACGGAGCAACGCCGCGUGAGCGAAGAAGGUCUUCGGAUCGUAAAGCUCUGUUGUUAGGGAAGAACAAGUACGGGAGGAAAUGACCGUACCUUGACGGUACCUUAGGAGGAAGCCCCGGCUAACUACGUGCCAGCAGCCGCGGUAAUACGUAGGGGGCGAGCGUUAUCCGGAAUCACUGGGUGCAAAGGGUGCGUAGGCGGUAGGGCAAGUCAGAUGUGAAAGCCCGGAGCUCAACUCCGGGAUUGCAUUUGAAACUGUCUUACUAGAGUGCAGGAGAGGAAGGCGGAAUUCCUAGUGUAGCGGUGAAAUGCGUAGAUAUUAGGAGGAACACCAGUGGCGAAGGCGACUCUCUGGACUGUAACUGACGCUGAGGCACGAAAGCGUGGGGAGCAAACAGGAUUAGAUACCCUUGUAGUC